rnacentral:rRNA from 1 species
GCGCAGCAGGCGAGAAUUUUUCUCAAUGGGGGAAACCCUGAAGGAGCGACGCCGCGUGGAGGAUGAAGGUCUUCGGGUUUGUAAACUCCUGUCAUUUGGGAACAAGGCGUACGUAUUUACUGUACGUAUGUUGAUAGUACCAGAAGAGGAAGAGACGGCUAACUCUGUGCCAGCAGCCGCGGUAAUACAGAGGUCUCAAGCGUUGUUCGGAUUCAUUGGGCGUAAAGGGUGCGUAGGUGGCGCGGUAAGUCGGGUGUGAAAUUUCGGAGCUUAACUCCGAAACUGCAUUCGAUACUGCCGUGCUUGAGGACUGGAGAGGAGACUGGAAUUUACGGUGUAGCAGUGAAAUGCGUAGAUAUCGUAAGGAAGACCAGUGGCGAAGGCGGGUCUCUGGACAGUUCCUGACACUGAUGCACGAAGGCCAGGGGAGCAAAC